GACGAACCGAGCGAACGUUAUUCGGAAUCACUGGGCUUAAAGGGCGCGUAGGCGGGCCAUCAAGUCAGGGGUGAAAGCCCCCAGCUCAACUGGGGAAGUGCCUUUGAUACUGGUGGUCUCGAGGGGAUAGGGGCAUGCGGAACUUCCGGUGGAGCGGUGAAAUGCGUAGAUAUCGGAAGGAACACCGGUGGCGAAAGCGGCGUGCUGGAUCCCUUCUGACGCUGAGGCGCGAAAGCCAGGGGAGCGAACGGG
rnacentral:rRNA from 1 species